rnacentral:tRNA from 1 species
GGUUUCUUUAGCUUAUUGGGUAAAGCUUUGUUUUGUGGUACCAAAGAAUAAGGUUUGAUUCCGGGAAAAACCC